rnacentral:rRNA from 1 species
UACGGAGGGGGCUAGCGUUGCUCGGAAUUACUGGGCGUAAAGCGCACGUAGGCGGCUUUGUAAGUUAGAGGUGAAAGCCCGGGGCUCAACCCCGGAAUUGCCUUUAAGACUGCAUCGCUUGAACGUCGGAGAGGUGAGUGGAAUUCCGAGUGUAGAGGUGAAAUUCGUAGAUAUUCGGAAGAACACCAGUGGCGAAGGCGGCUCACUGGACGACUGUUGACGCUGAGGUGCGAAAGCGUGGGGAGCAAACAGG